rnacentral:rRNA from 1 species
UACGUAGGGUCCGAGCGUUGUCCGGAAUUACUGGGCGUAAAGAGCUCGUAGGUGGUUUGUCGCGUUGUUCGUGAAAACUCACAGCUUAACUGUGGGCGUGCGGGCGAUACGGGCAGACGUUGAGUACUGCAGGGGAGACUGGAAUUCCUGGUGUAGCGGUGGAAUGCGCAGAUAUCAGGAGGAACACCGGUGGCGAAGGCGGGUCUCUGGGCAGUAACUGACGCUGGAGGAGCGGAAAAGCGUGGGGAGCGAACAGG